GCAAGUCGAGCGCUUCCUUCGGGAAGAGCGGCGGACGGGUUAGUAACGCGUGGGAAUAUACCCUUCACUAAGGAAUAGCCUCGGGAAACUGAGAGUAAUACCUUAUACGCCCUUCGGGGGAAAGAUUUAUCGGUGAUGGAUUGGCCCGCGUUAGAUUAGAUAGUUGGUGGGGUAAUGGCCUACCAAGUCUACGAUCUAUAGCUGGUUUGAGAGGAUGAUC
rnacentral:rRNA from 1 species